UUUUCAUGCUCAUGCUAUUUAACAUUAUAUCAUACAUUAUCAAAGGAUGUUAAAUUAGCUUGUCAAUUUAACACAUUACCAGUACCAGUUUAUGAUCUUUUUGCCAAGAAUUUAACCUGGUGGGCACCCACAUACACAGGGGACUAUAUUUUUCCCAAAGAUAACACACACAGGUAGCCACACAUAUCCUAAAAGGAGAACUCCUUAAGGUGAGUUCACAAAUUCAGAAUGAUUUAGCCCAUCAUUGGUACAAUGCUUUACUGGUUGGUCCCCUACUGGAUCCCAGAUAAUGAAAUCAUUCUUCUAUCAUUUUGUUAUUAUAGUCCUGAUUUUAUUGUGUAUGAUUUUAUAUAACUGUCACUUUACUUGUACAUUGAGGAAGAGAGUACAGAAAUUAAUCCAUAAUGCAGAACAGAAACAAUUAGAAAUUCUCCUCUCUGCCACUGUAGAGUAUCAACCCAUUUUUAAACUAGGCCUUAGGAAUUACCACAUGGGAAUCGAGGUGAAGAAAUUAAUGAAAGUCCCGCAGGGAGUGACUAGCACCCCUGAAAAUACCAUGUGGAAGUUUCUCUGUCCUGGUAAGAUUUUAUCGAUAAGAUGAGCAAUUGUUUUAUUGCUCAAAGAGGGGA